AGCUUAUCAGUUAGCUCUGUUGGUUAGGGCAUGGUGCUGAUAACACCAAGGUUGCAGGUUCUAUCCCCAUACAGGCCA